rnacentral:lncRNA from 1 species
AGCUACUCUGAUGCAGUGAUGAAUUCCCAAGUUAGGCUCUGAUACCAAUUUGAUGUAGUAUCAAUAACAGAGAAAGAAGAAGGGGAAGAGAGGAGCCGGAGAAGAGAGGAAAAUACGGCUGCAAGCCAAGUCUUUUAUUUAAUCAAAAUUCAUCACCUCAAAUAACAAUGUAAGAUAGGUUUAAAUACUGAAAAAUAAUGCAAACCUAGGGCUAAGCCCAAUACACAAGUCCAUAAAAUUAAAAUAACCUAAAUUCCAACAAAAUAAUUAAAAUUGCUAAAAUUAAUUAAAAUUGAUGUCCUCAUCAAGUUGA